GUGCCAGCAGCCGCGGUAAUACGUAGGUGGCAAGCGUUAUCCGGAAUUAUUGGGCGUAAAGCGCGCGUAGGCGGUUUUUUAAGUCUGAUGUGAAAGCCCACGGCUCAACCGUGGAGGGUCAUUGGAAACUGGAAAACUUGAGUGCAGAAGAGGAAAGUGGAAUUCCAUGUGUAGCGGUGAAAUGCGCAGAGAUAUGGAGGAACACCAGUGGCCGAAGGCGACUUUCUGGGUCUGUAACUGACGCUGAUGUGCGAAAGCGUGGGGAUCAAACAGG
rnacentral:rRNA from 1 species